rnacentral:rRNA from 1 species
UAUAAAGUUUUAUUUUAGCUUAAAAAUUUAUUAUUAAUAUAAUUUACAUGCAAAUUUUUGAAAGAAUUUAUAUUUAUUUAAAUAAUAAAUAUAAAAUUAAUAUUCGCAGUAAAUAAUAUUAUUAAUUAAAGAAAUUUAGAAAUAGUAAUAUUAAAUAGUAUUGACUAAAUUUGUGCCAGCAGUCGCGGUUAUACGAAUAAUGCAAUUAAAUUUGUAUAAUAUAUAGUUAAAUUAUAUUUUAUAAAAUAAAAAUAAAUUUAUAAGGUGAAAUUUUAUAUUUAUAAAGUAUUUUUAUUAAAUAAUCGACACUUAAAAAUUUUAUUUGUA